rnacentral:rRNA from 1 species
GACGAACGCUGGCGGCGUGCUUAACACAUGCAAGUCGAACGAAGUGGCGAACGGGUGAGUAACGCGUAAUCAACCUGCCCUUCAGAGGGGGACAACAGUUGGAAACGACUGCUAAUCCCGCAUACUGAAGGAGGCGAUUGCGUCUGAUUAGCUAGUUGGGGGGGUAAAGGCCCACCAAGGCGAUGAUCAGUAGGCGGUCUGGGGAGAUGAACGGCCACAUUGGGACUGGGGAACGGCCCAGGCUCCUACGGGAGGCAGCAGUGGGGGAAUAUCCGCAAUUGACGAAAGGCUGGCGGAACAAAGGCGGGGGAGUGAUGACGGGCUUCGGGUUGGAAAGCUCUGUUAAUCGGGACGCGGUACCGGAAGAGAAAGCCACGGCUAACUACGUGCCAGCAGCCGCGGUAAUAC